GUGAAUCAUCAAAUUUUUGAACGCAAAUUGCGCUUCCUAGCAUCCCGGGAAGUAUGCCUGUUUGAUGGUCAGUAUUUACAAAAAAAUCGUUUUGGUUGCAAAUUGUGACGUUUCCGGAGUUUGGGCUUAUCUUAACUUUUUUGGUUAAGGUUCUUAAAAUUGACCUUUUUUGCGCAUUUUUAAACGUACAUAAAUUUUUUUUUAUUAGUCUAUUCUUAAUGCCAAAAUCUUAUUAUAUGCUAUCACAUCGUGUGGCUUCGUUUCUAUAA
rnacentral:misc_RNA from 1 species